AGGUAGCGAAAUUCCUUGUCGGGUAAGUUCCGACCCGCACGAAAGGCGUAACGAUUUGGGCACUGUCUCAACGAGAGACUCGGUGAAAUCAUAGUACCUGUGAAGAUGCAGGUUACCCGCGACAGGACGGAAAGACCCCGUGGAGCUUUACUGUAGCCUGAUAUUGAAAUUCGGCACAGCUUGUACAGGAUAGGUAGGAGCCUUUGAAACGUGAGCGCUAGCUUACGUGGAGGCGUUGGUGGGAUACUACCCUAGCUGUGUUGGCUUUCUAACCCGCACCACUUAUCGUGGUGGGAGACAGUGUCAGGCGGGCAGUUUGACUGGGGCGGUCGCCUCCUAAAAGGUAACGGAGGCGCUCAAAGGUUCCCUCAGAAUGGUUGGAAAUCAUUCAUAGAGUGUAAAGGCAUAAGGGAGCUUGACUGCGAGACCUACAAGUCGAGCAGGGUCGAAAGACGGACUUAGUGAUCCGGUGGUUCCGCAUGGAAGGGCCAUCGCUCAACGGAUAAAAGCUACCCUGGGGAUAACAGGCUUAUCUCCCCCAAGAGUUCACAUCGACGGGGAGGUUUGGCACCUCGAUGUCGGCUCGUCGCAUCCUGGGGCUGUAGUCGGUCCCAAGGGUUGGGCUGUUCGCCCAUUAAAGCGGUACGCGAGCUGGGUUCAGAACGUCGUGAGACAGUUCGGUCCCUAUCCGUCGCGGGCGUAGGAAAUUUGAGAGGAUCUGCUCCUAGUACGAGAGGACCAGAGUGGACUUACCGCUGGUGUACCAGUUGUCUUGCCAAAGGCAUCGCUGGGUAGCUAUGUAGGGAAGGGAUAAACGCUGAAAGCAUCUAAGUGUGAAACCCACCUCAAGAUGAGAUUUCCCAUGAUUUUAUAUCAGUAAGAGCCCUGAGAGAUGAUCAGGUAGAUAGGUUAGAAGUGGAAGUGUGGCGACACAUGUAGCGGACUAAUACUAAUAGCUCGAGGACUUAUCCCU
rnacentral:rRNA from 1 species